UACGUAGGGGGCUAGCGUUGUCCGGAAUCAUUGGGCGUAAAGAGCGUGUAGGCGGUCCGGUAAGUCCGCUGUGAAAGUCGGGGGCUCAACCCUCGAAUGCCGGUGGAUACUGUCGGGCUAGAGUGCGGAAGAGGCGAGUGGAAUUCCUGGUGUAGCGGUGAAAUGCGCAGAUAUCAGGAGGAACACCGGUGGCGAAGGCGCCGCUCUGGGCCGAAACUGACGCUGAGGAGCGAAAGCGUGGGGAGCGAACAGG
rnacentral:rRNA from 1 species